rnacentral:tRNA from 1 species
GCUGGGGUCGCCUAGUGGUUAGGGCGACAGCCUGCUAAGCUGUGGUCCCAAAAGGACCUCGUGGGUUCGAAUCCCACGCCCAGCG